rnacentral:rRNA from 1 species
AGAGUUUGAUCAUGGCUCAGGAUGAACGCUGGCGGUAUGCCUAACACAUGCAAGUCGAACGAUGUCUUCGGACAUAGUGGCGGACGGGUGAGUAACGCGUGAGAAUCUGCCUCUAGGAUGGGGAUAACGGUUGGAAACGACCGCUAACACCCAAUAUGCCGUAAGGUGAAAAAUUUAUUGCCUGGAGAGGAGCUCGCGUCUGAUUAGCUAGUUGGUGGGGUAAGAGCUCACCAAGGCCUCGAUCAGUAGCUGGUCUGAGAGGAUGAGCAGCCACACUGGGACUGAGACACGGCCCAGACUCCUACGGGAGGCAGCAGUGGGGAAUUUUCCGCAAUGGGCGAAAGCCUGACGGAGCAAUACCGCGUGAGGGAGGAAUGCCUUUGGGUUGUAAACCUCUUUUCUCAGGGAAGAAGAUCUGACGGUACCUGAGGAAUAAGUAUCGGCUAACUCCGUGCCAGCAGCCGCGGUAAUACGGAGGAUGCAAGCGUUAUCCGGAAUCAUUGGGCGUAAAGCGUCCGCAGGUGGUUUCCAAAGUCUGCUGUUAAAGACUGGAGCUCAACUCCGGAACGGCGGUGGAAACUUGGAAACUAGAGUUCGGUAGGGGUAGCAGGAAUUCCCAGUGUAGCGGUGAAAUGCGUAGAUAUUGGGAAGAACAUCGGUGGCGAAGGCGUGCUACUGGACCGUAACUGACACUCAGGGACGAAAGCUAGGGGAGCGAAAGGGAUUAGAUACCCCUGUAGUCCUAGCUGUAAACGAUGGAAACUAGGUGUGGCUUGUAUCGACCCGAGCCGUGCCGUAGCUAACGCGUUAAGUUUCCCGCCUGGGGAGU